CGGCACGGAUGCGUAACGCGUAUGCAACCUACCAUCAACAGGGGGAUAACACUGAGAAAUUGGUACUAAUACCCCAUAAUAUCUCAUGCGGCAUCGCAUGGGGUUGAAAACUCCGGUGGUUGAUGAUGGGCAUGCGUUGUAUUAGCUGGUUGGUGAGGUAACGGCUCACCAAGGCGACGAUACAUAGGGGGACUGAGAGGUUAACCCCCCACAUUGGUACUGAGACACGGACCAAACUCCUACGGAAGGCAGCAG
rnacentral:rRNA from 1 species